rnacentral:rRNA from 1 species
UUUUAGUUUGUCCCCCCGAAACUAAGUGAGCUACUUCAAAACAGCCCUUNGGGCCAACCCGUCUCUGUUGCAAAAGAGUGGGAAGAUUUUCAAGUAGAGGUGAUAAACCUACCGAACUUAGAGAUAGCUGGUUACUUAAGAAACGAAUAUAAGUUCGACCCUGAGCCUGCUAUUAAAUAAAAAACCUUCUCAGACUCAGGAUUUAUUCAAAUAAGGCACAGCUUGUUUGAAUCAGGAUACAACCUCGUACAAAGGGUAAACUAUAGAUACAUACAGCAAGUAGGCCUAAAAGCAGCCACCUUUAAAAAAGCGUCAAAGCUUAGCACUAUAAGUCUCCUCAAUACCUCAAUUCUUCUUUAACCCUUCACCAUUAUUAAGUAACUCCAUAACCCUAUGGAAGCUAUUAUGCUAGAACUAGUAACAAGAAAAAGAUUUUCUCCAAAAUGUAAGUUUAAGCCACAAUAGACUAUCUACUGGCAAUUAACGCAAAUGAACCUCAUUUAGCAACGCUUCAAGAAAACCCUAAAAUUUUUAGCGUUAACCUUACACUAGAGCAUUUAUGGAAAGAUUAAAAGGGGGGGAAGGAACUCGGCAAAUUUUGAUCCCGCCUGUUUACCAAAAACAUCGCCUCUUGACUAACUAUAAGAGGUCCAGCCUGCCCGGUGACAUAGUUUAACGGCCGCGGUACCCUAACCGUGCGAAGGUAGCAUAAUCACUUGUUCUUUAAAUGGGGACUCGUAUCAACGGCAUCACGAGGAUCACACUGUCUCCCGCCCCUAAUCAGUGAAACUGAUCUCCCCGUGAAGAAGCGGGGAUUUUUUUAUAAGACGAGAAGACCCCAUGGAGCUUUAAACCCGAUGACACCCCCGCCCUAUUUAGACCUACGCAUUCGUUGGGGACCUGUUCACUCGGUUUUAGGUUGGGGUGACCGCGGAGUAAAACAAAACCUCCACGAAGAAUGGGCUUACCCCCUUAUCCAAGAGAGACAUCUCUAAGAAUUAGUAAACUAACAUCUAAUGAUCCGAUUUUUUCGAUCAACGAACCAAGUUACCCUGGGGAUAACAGCGCAAUCCACUUCAAGAGCUCAUAUCGACAAGUGGGUUUACGACCUCGAUGUUGGAUCAGGGUAUCCCAGUGGUGCAGCAG